CUUGGUUAUCAUUUUCAAUUCCAAUCAAAGCAAUGGGGAAAAGAAGUCCAAGCUUGAAAACAACAACAAAUGCAGAAAAAUGUCACUGCUCUUGUGAGGAUAGUAGCAGACAUCACUCGCAUGGUCUCCAAAAAUCUGGAAAUAUUAGAAGCAUUAUUUAUUCCUGAAAAAGGAAUUUUUCUAUGUGCAUUUGCAAAAAUAUUCGAGCCCAAGACGGUAUUUGAAUUCUUGCUUGGGCUAAAUAUGUAGUCGCCAGCCAAAGCCCCUAAAAAUUAGGUACUUCCGGCGGCCACCUCCGGCGUCGGCACUUUGUAAUAUACCGUAGGGUGUGCAAUGCUUGGACCGAAUUUUACUCCACAUUAAAUGCUGAUGGAAAUAUGACUUUGAUGGUGGUGUGUUUGAAGCAAGAUACAUUGUCCAUUCAACUGUUGCAAGUAGGCUUUUGCAGAAAUUGGUCCUCCUCCUGAUAUAUUUGCCACUCAAUAUCCUUCAAAUCUUGGGGAAUCACGUGCCAUUCCUUCUUGUUUGGACUUUGGUACAUUGGGCCUAGAAAGUUGCCUUGCAAUGAUUUGAUUUUAGUUAGGCCUAAUCUUUGUACAUCAUGGCUAAUUUGCAUCAGACCUCAUAUUUCAAAAAUGUUUGGGCUCAUGAACUCUCUUAUUUAACUCUUGGGCCAUGCGAUUGUCCUCUACUACAAUCAUGGGCUGGACAUAUCAACAUCUUAUGGGCUUUACAUGAUUAGGCCCGGAUAAAACAUUUAGGGCCCUGGGAUACUUCGGUUUCUCCUUGAUCAGCUAUAAAUCAACACUACUGUUUCUUUAGUUGGACUCGAUUACUGCCUCGUUCGAAU
rnacentral:lncRNA from 1 species